rnacentral:lncRNA from 1 species
AGAGAGAGAGAGAGAUACUGGAUUUAUCUCUUUGCGUUUUGAGAUGACUGCAGUUGCCAUUCGCAUAAUUCUGAGCUUUGCAUCCUCCAUUAUGCUGCUUCUCGCAUUCUCAUCCAAAUUCAGGCACUGACAAAAUGUAUGUUCCUCGUUACGAUGUACCAACUCUGGAUCACAUAUUUGAUCCAAACCUUGUGUGAGUGUCGUCAUUGAGCCUGACACUGUCUUCAGAUUCAUGCAGACAUUUGCCCUUAGUUCUCUUAGCAGACACGGUAGCUCUGGUAAAGAUUGAAGCUGCUUGCAAGAUUUUACAUUUAGGAACGUCAGCCCAGAAACUUGUUUGAUGCUUGGAGGUAUGCUGUCAAUCAUGGUUCCACUAAGGUCUAUUUCUUUCAAUGAGCUUAAGCCAACCAUGAGGUGAACAGCUAUAUCUGUCAUACUUACGCAGUUACUCAGGUUUAGAUAAGAGAUUGAAGAGCACAAGACGACCAACGGUGGAGGCAAUUCUUUUAGUUUGCAACAGCCACUGAGUCUAAGAUUCUGAAGAAGUUUUAAUUUGUAGAUGCUACUGGGAACAGACACGAGGUGCUUGCAAUCAUAUACCCAUAAGGUUUUAAGCCCAACUAGAUUUUCGAUAGAUGGAUCUAGCUCUUUAACACGUGAUUCACUUAAGAGGAGGAUCUCAAGACAUUCCAUAGGCUCCAAGAUCUCUGGGAAGUCCUGGAAGUCAGUGCAACAACGUAGAUCAAGUUCCUUCAGACAUUUUAACUUCCAAAUGCGGGGUGAAAUACUCUUGAGGUUGUGGCAAUGUUGCAGUCUAAUCGAAACAGUCUGAGAGAGACACUCAAUUGAUGGAGGCAGUCGUGUUAUACUUGAUUGACCCAAAUCAAGAUGAGUGAGGGAAUUUAGCCUCCAGGUUUUGUUUGGAAGAGAAUAAAUCCAACUACACUGAUCAAGAUUCAAUUCGACAAGCCUCUCAAGAGACCAAACUGAAGAAGGCAAUUCUGAUAUUCUAGUACCACCUAAAUCCAAGAAUUCCAUAUUGCUCGGUAUCUCUGGAACACUUCUAAGCCUCCAGCAGUUCCCCAGAUUUAGAUAAGUAAGCUUAUGAAGACAUUCAAGAUAUAAGGGUACUUCGACCAACUUUUCACAGCCAUUAAGAUCUAUACUAACCAUAUUUGAACAAUGUGAGAGAUUUGGAACUUCAACCAAAUUAAUACAUCUUCUGAGAUAUAUACUCACAAGACUCCUUGGGAGGCAUGAAAUAUCAACCAGCUCUUUUGAGUAACUAAGAUCAAUCUUUUUUAAGUUCCGAGGAUUCUGUAACAAAUCAAAGAGAAAUAGCAAAGAUAACUUAACACGAUACAUAAGUUUUCCACACUACAUUCACUAUACAUGAAAGAAUUCAUUUAAGCAUACCUGGCCUUCACUCCAAACUGACUGGAGUUUGCUGUCGCGCAUAUGAAGUUCAACAAGAAAGCUUGGAGAAAACUUUGAUGGCAAAGAUUUGAAAGGGUACUCGGGCCAGCAAAGAUAUCUGAGGGAAUCAGGCAGACACGUAAGACUUUGAGGAGGGCGGAAUUUGUGGUGUGGCCAAUCAUAAGAGAAGCGACCAGCAAGAUUCAGGUAUCUUAGAUUAUACAUAUUCACAAAGGCUUGAGGAGUCAUGUUUACAUCAGUACUGGAACUAUCCACCCUGAGGGAUAUGCUCUGAACUGUUGCAAUUCCCUGACAAUCAAACCAAGUGUAAAUGAACUAGCAUACAAUAUACAACCAAAUUACUAAAAACUACUAUAACCCGUAAAAAUAAUCCGAGUUGAACUGUUUUUUUUAUAAGAAGACCAUGGAUACAAUAUAUAUAUAGGUAUUCUUUAGAUCAAAAGUUCAUGCAUUUUUUCAAAAGACCAUGGAUACAUUAAGCUCGUACCGUAUUUUGUCCUGAGUACAUGACAGAUAUCCUCACUAGUGCACAACCUGGUGCGUCUUCCAGGCUCUUCAGGACAUUGUUCACGGACAAUCUCCCAACCCAUUUCUUGUAUCACAUCGUGCACCCACAGACGGUUGUCCUUUAUUGUUACCAGUGACAUAUCAACAAGAACUUCAAUUCCACAAUCAGCAGAUAAACCACAAGCAUCUAACUGGUUUUUCACAAAACCUAUAUCUUCCCCUUUGUAAAAACAUGUGAUAUCAAGAAAUAUUUCUCUCUCAUUCUUUUCUAGUACAUUAUAGCUUACUCUAUAUACACUCUUCAGCUUUUCGUCAAGAGACAUCUUCAUUUCAUUCCAUAAACGUCUGUGGAACAAGGAACGCCAAAGUUUAAGGGCCAACGGAAUUCCUGCAGCAUAAUCUACAGCUCUCCUAACAAAUUCUGAAGAAGCUGGUGCUGAAAAAAUAUCUUUGGGAGCAUUCAAAACAAAGAGCUGUUGAGCUUCAUCAUCAUUUAAUUCUUCGACUUUGUAUAUCUCAAUAUCAUGGUCAUCUUCUUCCCUCAAUACUUUCAUCAGUCUAAGUUGUUGUAGAUCUCUAGUUGUUAUAAUGAUUCUGCUCCCGGGGCCAAAUGGAACUUUACUUCCAGCUAAAAAUUCCAAUUGGCUAGAGUCAUUCACAUCGUCAAGAACAACCAGGACUUUUGUUCGACAGAGCUUUGCUUUAACAAAAAAGUCUAUAGUUGGAGUCUGUAUACUUAUACUUCUGUCCCCUAAUAAAUUACGAAGAAGUUUAUUUCGCAAAUCAUAUAGUCCUUCUCCAGUCCCCGAUGCUUCCCUAAUGUUGGCAAGAAAACAAGAAGCUUUGAAUUGGGAAGAAAGUCGGUGAAAUACAAGAUCAACAAGGGUGGUCUUGCCAAUACCACCCAUACCCCAUACACCCACAAAGCAAACACGAUCAUCUUGGGGGGAAAGGCUUAGUAAUGAUUCGAUUUGCUGAAUGCGCCUUCCAACUCCAACAAAGCCCGUUAAAUCAACUGCGGAUACACGACUCAGUUUUGUCACAAUGACUUUGACAACUUGAUCAAUUAAAUGAGAUUCAUCCCUAAGACAUAUUACAAAGGACAAAAUUCAUGGUCAGCCACCUAACUGAUAACUCAAAAAUAAAGUAUUAACUAACAAAUAAAGUAUUUGUACAAGUUAUGGAUUUACCUAAUAGUGCUUGAAGUUGAAUCAAACCCAGAUAGAUUAGCUGCUUUUGUUAAAGCAUCCUUCCACUUGAGACGUUCUAUCAAUGUCCUAUCCUUGAAACACUCUUCCACUUCAUAAGUCUCCUUCUGGUGUCGUACAAUUGAUGGAUCUAUUUUAUAGAAAAUGGGGAUAACAAUCUGUCCAUAUCAUUCCUUGCAUUCCAGUAUAUGCACAAGUUCGUCCAAGCACCAUCUAGAAGAAGCAUAGUCUUUUGAGAUAAUAACUACAGAAAUCUUUGAUCCUUUGAUUGCUUUCAGAAGGGCAGGUGCAAUUUCAUCUCCUCUCUCAAGUCUGUAAUCUAUGUACGUUUCGAUUUUAUUCCCAUCUAAAGCCUUAUACAGAUGACUGGUAAAAGUCUUCCGCGUUUCUGUACCUCUGAAACUAAGAAAAACAUCAUACUUUUCCUUGGGCUGGAUGGCAGAAGAAGCGGAAGCCAUAUUACAUAUCCAGAAGUCUACAUAAUUGCAACACAUUUCGUUCGCUUUAUGAUGAUGUCCACAAUCGAGAAUGCAAACACUCUUCCAAGAUCGUAAUUCGAAACACUACAAAAAGAAAUAUUAGAGCACAUGGUUGAUCAUUUUUGAGUCUAGAAAGAAUGGAAAAAGUUUGGUGACGAAAGCAUAUAUAAACAUAUAUGGUAUUGAACUUACAUGUAAAAGAAAACAAAUCAAGCUGUGUAGAAGAAAGAGUAGAGAGAUAACUGAUGCUCAUCUACAAUUGGAUCAGAAAUUGGGACAAGAAUGUGUCGUACAUAGCAGGGGAAUGAUGAGGAACGAGAUAGGAAGACAGAUCUAUCUUUCAGUUGUUCAUUCAGAUCUAUUGCAAAUAAAUAUAUAUUGAAUAAGUAAGUCUAAGUCCGCUUUCCUUGCCUGGCUAGUUCAUGCUCUUCAUUUGAAUCUUCUAGUGUGCUAUGUAUCCUUAAUGCAGAAGAUAAGAACUAUAAAAAAAAAUAAUUAACAAUCGUGCCCACUAUGUUAUCUACCAUUUGUUAGUUUGACUUUCUGAUAAUGUGACAUUAUAUUUCUAAUAUAUACUAUUCCGAAUCUGUAGACUACAUUACAGAUAUAAUAACCAUUUGAGCAAAGAUUAAUCUGGGACCAAUGGCUACAUCUAAUAAUUUACCUCAUCGCAUUUGGAAAGCAAAAACCACAAUCGAGAAGAAGCUUUUAGUUGAGGAAACUGAGGGGUUGCGUUCAGAUUGUUGCUUCAGCUUAAAAUUAAUAAUAGCAUCAACCUGCAGUACAAGUCAAAUUAGGUCAAUUUCCUUUUUCUUGUUUUUAUUUAAAAUAAAAUCCGGGCGUGGGGCUGAGCCUCCCAGCUAGGCUGGGUUCCAAACCCUUUAAAAAAAAAAAAAAAAAAAAAAAAAAGGUCAAUUUCCUUUUCUGGUACUCCAGCUGUGGUAUACUGGUACACUAGUAUUUUGGUGAAAGGCUGAAUAACAAUGGUCAGUUAUGUGCUCAACUAAUUCAGACAAAAAUAUAAUCAACUAACUAUCAGUGAUAGAAAACAUAUGUUCCCCUUACAGAAGGAUAAAUUACUUAGAUUAGGCUGAGGAAAAGAGCUGUUCUUGGGACCUUAAAUUGAAUUAAGGAUUUGAAAACAGAAAUUGACAAAUAGAACCGAAAUCAUGUAGAACACACAAAAUAUUGAGAAAAUAACAAUAGUAGCAGAGCGUCCAGAAUCCUCGAGCAACAUACAUCAAUAACUAGUCCAUGUUAUGUUUUAUAAGCUGCUAUUAUUUCUAACAGGCAUUGUUGAUCAAAAGCAAUUGAGAGUAUACUGGCAUCCAAACUAAUCAAAUCAUUCAAGUAUUGCACUAUAUAACAUUUACCAAUUUUUCUAUAGCUUCUAGUUUGCUAUGCAAUCAAGACUAAUCAAAUGAUUCAAAUCAUUCAAUGAUCGAUUGACUACUAUGUCCAGUGUAAACAGAAAAAUUUAUAGAGACCAGUAUAGAAAUUAACAAACGUAUUGAUAGGCCUGUACUUGGAUGUAUGCAGAGAUGAUUCCACCAAGGAAAGCUCUCUCCUCCUGAGUUUUAUGUAUAUUUACAGCGACAGAAGUAUAUCUAAUAAUAAAUGAUUCAAAUCCAGACAUUAAAAAAAAUCUAGUUUGAUUUGCUAUUUAUUGUUUAACAGAUCCAAAUCUGUACUCUACCAUCUAUAUACAAGUGCUAUCAAGCUUGUUUGCUAGAUAUCCAAUGGUGAUAACAUACAUCAAUAGCGAAGGGAAUAAUACAUUAAAAUCAUAGAUCAAUAGCAUCAUGCUAACCUUGAGUAAGAGAACUCCUUAAAAAAGAUGUCACCCCUUGGAGGGACCUGUUUAACCACAUCUGCAUCUGAAAAUACCUGCAAUCAAGUAAUUCAGUUAGACUAUAUUAGGGUAUAUCGAAAAACAAGAAGAUUGUUUAAAGACAUUGUAAAAAUGUAUACAAGAGUAAUGGAUGGAUCCAUCUCAUUUAUAAGAGUAGCCGCGUAUGGAGCACAGUGGCACCAGCAUUGAUAAGAACAUUAGCCGCAGCCACAAGCUGGUCAUUGACCUCCGACUCCAACAUGUAAUGCUGCAAAUGCACAAAAAAUCCACCAACCAAAUUCAAAACCCAGUAAACAUAUCACACACUACUCACAAUUCACAGCUGACAACGCACAAUUGGGUCCAAACUUACCUCUUAUCUUCCCAACAAAGAAGAUAACACAGAAUCGACUAAAAAAGGAAAGUUUCUUAUUUGGGGAGAUUGAAAGAACCUGGCCGAGUGAUUUGCGGGGGAAGCGGCCUUUGGAGUUGAGGGCGGUAAGAGUGGAGUGGUAGUCAUCCGGGUUCUUUCUUCUUCCUCCUCCUGUCUUUCGUGUUGUUUUGGCGCAAGCUGUUAUAUAAGUUGGGGUGGAUUGUCGUGCGCCGGGGGUACUAUUGUGCGCCGCGAGUGUGAGUUUUGGGUUUUGUAUUGGCGGGAGAGAUUGGUGAAGCAGAAGAAGAUGAGGGGCUGAGUUCAUGUCUCUCUGUUAUUGUUGGCUUGAGGAAGUGUGACUGUGUGAGACUAGUUUUUUUUUUUUGGAAAUGAAGUGUGAGACUGCUUAUGUUUUGAUUGUUUUCCCAGAACCAACGAGUCCCUUCUUUUUGUUUUUUAUUUUGUUUUGUUUUUAUUUUAAGAAAUUUUAUUUAGACAUGACUAAAUACAAAAUACAUAUCUCACACUUAAUAAACCCCCAAAUAACUUUAUAAUUGUUAUAAAUAUUAUAAUCUAUGUGGCUGUCCACGUAAUUAUUCAUUAGUUAUGUACUCUGAUGUAAACUCUACCUCUAUAUAAAAAGGCUAAUGAGAAUGAAUGAGUAGUCUUCUAUCUCUUCCCAACUAUUCUCUUUGUGUUAUCUCUUUCUCUCUUCUUUACUUUACAACACGUUAUCAGCAUGACUCUACCUUGAGUUGAUAACGACUAAACUCUAGAAAACCAAAACUAUUUUGUGUUUUAUUUCCUAACUCAAUGAUGAUCUAAAAGAUCAGACGGUGCAACUUAAUUGUUGUUUUUCACCGAUGCUCUUGCGUGUUCUUAACUCAAACGUUAUAUGAUAUGAUGCCUUUAUUUUAUAUUAAUUGGUUUUCCAAAAGUGCGUCGAUCAUUUUGUCUUUUGCAAUACUCUUGUCAAUUUAGUAUAUGACCACAAGAUCAAAUUGUAGCUGGGUCUCCAUUCGCGAUUGAGUUCGCGUUUGUAGAUUUCGGGCUCAAAGAAUUGGUUUUGAAUUUGAGCCAAAAGAGCACUGGGCUUCCAUCCGGAGACGGAGAUGGUCAGAGCCGCACGACCAAAAUCUUGGUUCGGGGUUUGGAACUUGUGGUCGUCGGAGACCAAUGGACCAACUUUGAUGAACUGGAGAUGAUAUCCAGCUCCAUUCGGACUUGAGCGUCCCGUGAGCGUCUGGAGAUGAGUUGUUAAAUCUUGAUCUGAAUGGGGUGACGUUGUAUACGUUUGAUUUUGAGCAAAGCACAGAGACCCCAUAAUUGAUCGCUCACCCAAGAGAUUCCAGAGUUGAUUUCGAGGUGAAUUGGAUCGCCCAAACUCAACCAGUCUUGAAUCUGCAGAGAUCUAUUGCUGUGCUAUCUAAGUUGUGGACUAGCUGUCCAAGCCCUCUCGCGUUCGAAAACAGAGCAGAGGCCUGUGCCUUUUUAUGGCUUCACUUGCGCACAUAUUAGAUUAAUUCGUCUGCUUCUAUUAGCUUUUAGAAAACUGUUAUCCGUACAUCAUGAUAUAUUUGCUUACCCAUGAUCUAUUAUCCAGAAACUUUUUGUUGAUCAACUUCCAUUGUUGGGUUUAUCAAUUUGUUUUCCUAGUAGUCAUAGAAUAAGCGAUUUGAUCAUUGAUUUACUUGAUAUGCAUGAGACGAUCUAUGAGCUACAUGAUUCUUUGCUUUGGACUUUGUUAUGCAAAGUUUAUGAUUUCACAUUGCUUUGCAGGCUGACAUAUAUAUUUGCUAUCAUAUGCAAGGCAUCAGUACCUUUCGCCCUUUCAGAGCCGGCCCUGGGGUAGUGCAAGCCGUACCGCCGCACAGGGCCCCCGGCCGGCAAAGGGCCCUUUUUUUUUCUUGGUAUUAAUUUUUCUAUCAUAUAUUAAAAAUCUUUAAGAUGUUGGAAGAGUGUGUGUAGUCGAGUUGGUCAAGGCGUUCAGGGAGGGAAUNNNNNNNNNNNNNNNNNNNNACAACACAAGUAAUGAUAUAAGUAUCUUAGAAAAUAAAAAAUAACGAUAUAAUUUUACUGGUUGUUUCUUGAUUGAAUACUAUUAUUGAACUAUCUUCAUAUUUAUUUAAUUAUUUGAUUUUUUUUUCUGCAUCGAACACAAAGGCCCCAAAUUUUGUUUCGCACAGGGCCCUUCAAAACAUUGGGUCGGCCCUGCGCCCUUUCAUUGACAUCAUUCAUAAAUUUUGAGUAUAUGUAAAUCAAGUUUGGCUCAACUUGGACAACAUUUCAAGACCUCUGACUCAGAGACGAGAUUUGUGUUGAAAGUAUAAGGCUUGAGUUAAUUUUCCCUUAUGGUAAUAUUCUAUACCCAUAAUUUGGGUAGACUUCAAGUUCUACGGAACACUCUGUGUUUUGCUUCCAUUUAUGUUUCCAGCUUCCAUUUUUCUCAAGAUUGUUAUGGUCUCCUUAGCUUGAUUAUUUGCAUGAUUAUGAUGAAGCAUGAAAUAUAUCACUAUGCAUAUUGAUUUUUGAUUUCAGAUCGUGACCUUAAGUCUCUUGAUCAAACUAUAGAGGGCCUGAAGUUCCUCGAGAGUAAUAUAUAAUUGAAAUUACGAUAUGAAGUUUCUCAAAACUUAUGCAAUUACCAAGGGCCAAAAGUUACCUCAUAGUUAUACAAUGAUCGAAACCACAUAUUGUGAUCCCUGAUCAUAUACGGGUCUGAAGUCCCUAAUCAUAUUGCGAUAUUAAUUGCAUGUGUAAGUACAUGAGAUCAAGAAAACAAUAUUAUCAUAUUUGAUAAAGUUAACUAGACCUGAAGAUAUGUGUAAUUUAUUUAUUCAUGGAAUCAGAAGUUUCCUAUGUACAAUUUAUUUACUUUUUGUUAUUUACAAUUUUCCUAUUUUGUUAUGUACUGUCAUUCCACUACUUAUCUUUUAAAUUUUAUUAUCAUUCAUAUGGGCCGACAACCCUAUAUCUUGAAGAUAUAAAUCUCGAAUGUCAUGUUUUUGAACCAGAAGUUCAAGAUACGAUACAGUAGAACUCGAAAUUCUAACAAUAGAAACUCAAACCCAAAGCUUUGAGCAUAUAUAAAUAUGAUUUAACUAAAUGUGAACUUAAAGUUUCACUGGGUUACUCAAGCCUGAAGUUUCGAGCACUAGAAUUAUUUGAACCCGAAGUUUGACAUACGAAGUCUGAGAACUUGUCGUUCUAACAUUAUAAAUUCGAACCUAAAGCUUCGAUUUCACAUAUGAUUGAUGGCUCCAGAAGAGCACUCUCUUUGAAUGAAGUGUGUCCAAUGCAGUUCAAAAUCGAUUAAUAUAUGAUAUAAAUUGUGCCAAAAUUUUAUAGUGAAUUAAGGCACAUAAGAUCAUGAACCAAAAGUUCAUUAAACCAAAUACAUUAUUUGGCAUGACAAGUUAAGUCAUAUUUUACUUAUAAUGUUGCCUGGAAUCAAUAAUAAGUUUUGAUAACCACUAGUCCUAAUCAUAACCGAUCGUUUAUUUGACACUUUAAUGAGACAAUCCUCCUGUCAUGAGGGGGAGAGAGAUUGUUCAUGAAGAACGAUGUAAAGUGGUGUAAGUUGUUUUACAUCAUCUUAUUUUGAUUUUGAGAAAUGUCAUAGUUAGUGGUUGAUAAAAGAUCUUGACAAAAGUAAAUGCAAAAGCACAUGCUUGUUUUUAAAGUCCUCGAGAACAACCAUAUUGAUCUCAUUUGAUUUGUGGGAUGCAUGUGUAUCCAAGUGACAUGGUUAUCCUGAAGAGAAUGUCAUGAUACAAUGUUAGAGUUCCUAAUUCGGCUACACCUACAAAGGUUGUAGGUACGCCAUUAGAGAAUGAUAUUUUGAUUGAUAUUAAUGAAUAUAAUGUUUUUGACCUCAUCUUUUGUUUAGGUUCGCCACCAUCCAAUGAACAUCUCAAUUAAGAGAAAGUGAUAGAACUUUAAACGCAUAUUUGCGGAUGGUCAUAACAUGACAGUCUUCCCGCCGUUAGGGAGAGAAUAAGACUAUUGUCAUUUGAAUAACGGCGUGAAUUUGUAUGGAAUGUAUCCACAAAGUCUAAAGUUGUAAGCUCCUGAAAAUUGAAGAUUAUACAUGUCCUAUAAUGCUCUAUGUGAUAUUACAAGUAAAAAAUCCACAUUCACUAGAUAUUUGUUCUUGAAGUGACAAUAUUUACCCUAGAAGUGGUAUGAGUACCCAAAAAUCAAAUGCAUGCAUAUAAGAAUGUGUGGGAUCUAUGAAUGAUGAUCAUCUAUGACAAUUUACAAAUGUAGUUACCAAAGACCAUUAAGGAUUGUAUUAAUCGAUGUUAUAUCACGUUUCAUUAUGUAUGUCGGCAAAGCAUAUUAUUGGCCAAAUUGUACAGAGGCAAUUCGAAUGAAACUCAAUAUUUGAAACAUGAUGAGAUUCUUUGAUCUUUAACCCUAAAUGAUACAAAAGGGUAUUGAUCAUAGUGAAACUAAAUCACUAUGGCAUAAUGUCUACAAGAGACAUGGAGAUUAUGAAUAUAUUUCCUUAUACAUGACAAUUUUCUGUAAGUACAGUAUUAUAUAAUAGAUAUAGUUGUUAUUGACGAGAGACUUACGACAUUUGUCAUUGUAUAUUAUGAGGAUCAUAAAAGACACGUUGCUAAAAACAAAUUCCCAAAAAUGAAGUCAUUACCUUAUAGGAUUCAAGUACAUGAAUGAUUCUAAUGUAAUUCGAUCCAUGAAUAAAACAAAGCUAAUUCACACUACACAAAGAUUUUGAUGUGUAUGACUAGAUACGCCAUGAGAUAUUUCAAUGUUUUAAUAUCAAUUUGCUUAUGUUGUCUAGCUAUUACUUAGUGUAUGAAUUUGAUCAUAUGACUAAAUGAGGUAAGACGUAUUAAAAAUCGUUUAGCUUUGUUGGUAUUGUUUUAACUUUGCAGGUACACAAUUUCAUGAUGAGCCCCUAUAUGCAAAACACGCAUGGUCUCACUUUAGUGAUGGACAAAUCAAACCAUUAUUUACGACGCAUGAAGCUUGCAACGUUCAGGGGGAGAUUCUCAUCAAGGAGAAAAGAGCACGUUGUACUCUUUUCUCCUUCGACCAGGGUUAUUUUUCUCCCAUUGGGGUUUUCUUACCUGGCAGGUUUUAAACGAGACAACAUUAUGCGCGUCUAAUUUCAUCAUUCAUUGGUGGACAUCCAAGGGGGAGUGUUAUAAAUAUUAUAAUCUAUGUGGUUGUCCACGUAAUUACUCAUUAGUUAUGUACUCUGAAGUAAACCCUACCUCUAUAUAAAGAGGCUAAUGAGAAUGAAUGAGUAGUCUUCUACCUCCUCUCAACUAUUCUGUUUGUGUCUUCUCUUCCUCUCUUCUUUACUUUACAACAAUAAUAUUAUCAUUUUACUAGAUACACAUCUUUAAAUUUCUUAAACUACCCUUAUUCAAAAUAUACCAAUACUACCAUAUAUAUUUUCUAAAUACACAUUUAUUCCUUUUUUAUAUUAUCUCGACUUAGAAAGAAAAUAAAAUUUUCUCUCUAAACAACGAGAAGACUAUUUUUUCUUUGCAAACUCAAAAGCAUUCAACUCCACCAUGAUUGAUCAAGUUAUGUAGAAUCCUAUGCAUAUUCAUCAUUUUGGACAUUUUGCACCCAAACAUGUUUUAGAUCAUUGCAAAACAGAUGCCAAGCUAGAUCACCAGUCUCUUCUGUUUGAAAACCUCGAGCAUAGAUACUCCACUUGUUUUCAGGAUAGACAGUACCAUUCUAAGUCUUUGCAUAGUCGAAGCCAGCCAAAAACCUUCAUCUACUUGGGGGAAUCCAUUAUUAUAAAUCAUUAAUGUGACGACUCAGAAAAAAAAAAUUUAUUUUGCUCUAAUCAUUUUUUUUACUGUUUGGUAUCUUUGUGUGUGAAUAUUUGUAUAUAUGUAUAUAUAUUUAUAUAUGUUGAAUUAGUCUAGUUAUUUUUUUUUUAUUUCAUCUUAUUUUGGUUCAAGUAGAGAGUUUUUAGCCCAUGUUAAAACCUUGACCCGAGCCCAAACCCGAGCCCAAAUGUAGAAUUAGUUUUUAGGAGAAAAAAAGGCAGAUGUCGGGCAAAUUUGCAAAAGGAUGCUCGGACUUCUUUCAUCGUCUUCUUCUCCCUGACAUUCUCCCAAUCUGAAAACUUUCUCUAACCGCCUAAAAAAAACCCAGUAGCCGCCUUAGAAAAGUCCAAUUUGACGGCUACCGCCAUGAAUAAGUAGGAGGUGUCAAAACCCUGGAGGUCAGCUGCUGAAUCUUUGAAGCUAUACCACAGGAGCUAGAACCCUAGAGGUCUAGUCUAGCACCUAAACGAGUAAGAAUUCAGUUGAACAAUCCAAUUUUGCUUCUUGUGUUCUUCUCUUGGACGCCAAGUUUUAUCCCCUUUUUAGACCCUAUAAAUAGGACUGAGUUAUGUAGAUUUUUUGGGUUUUCAGUAGUCUUUCCUACUGAGAGAGAGAGAGAGAGAGAGAGAGAGAGAGAGAGAGAGAGAGAGUAGAGAGAAGNNNNNNNNNNNNNNNNNNNNGAGAGAGAGAGAGAAGAGAAAUUGGUGUUGUAGGAAAUUAGCAGAAGAAUUCAGGUUUGCAUUUUUUAUGUUCUUGAUCAAUUGGUUAUCCUUUGUGAACCAUGUUGUGACUUUUGUAUGUAUGCUUCUUGUUAUAGAGGAUCAUCUUGGUAUGAAGUAAAGCAUUAGGAUUGGGUUUUUCUUUGUUGUUACCUAUUGGGAAUCAUCUUUGAAAAUGGAAACUUGAUUUGAGUCAAAAACUGUAAUUUUCUGAUUCUGGUCUUCAAAGUCCGAAAAUCAUAAGUAUUUGUAGAUAAUUUCUUAUGCUGCGAUUUCAGUUCCUGAUUGAUCUUUAGGUUGUCCUUUACAAAUGUUAUGAAGACACCAACUGUAAAUUCCCAGUCAAGCUAUGUCGUUUUUAGCCAUAAAGUUUACUGGUCAGAAAGUUAGGAAGUUGUUUUGUGAUUACAGAUUUCUGUUUUUAAUUGCACUCUUUGUUUUUGAAUCUUUGUUUCUUUUGAUAUGCGAUUGUGUAGAUAUUGAGAUUGAUUCAUGAAGUUCCAAUACAUGUCAUUAUUUUUAUUAUUGAAGGUAGAGACCAAAGGUAGGGAAUGCUUAAAAGCUAGUCAUAAGACUAGAAGGUUAUAACUUUUACAUGUUGUCUAUAAGCUGAUUUUUGUGGUAAUCAUAUUUAGCCAUUUAUGUUGCAAGUUUUGUGUGUUUCUUUUUGAAACAUUGAAGUGUUUAUGUUCAGUUGCUAGAAGCUUUGUACCACAUAGUGUCUGAUUUGCUUUCAAAUACAAAGUUUAGGCACUUUUAGCAAAAUUUCCAGAAAAAACCUGAAACUGUUACUGAACUUUGAAAUUGCAUAUCUAAUUACAGAAAAAUCGUUCUGAGGUGAUUCAAAUUCUGAAAGCUUCUCUAGGAUGUCUAGUUUAUUUCUUUAGAAGGCCAUGAAGUCAAAUUCCUUAUGGAUUUGUACAGUUUUUGUGGUGAAGGUGACUGGGUCAGAAAACUGCAGUCGUUCUUUGUGUUCAGUAAACUUGUUUUCGGAUCAACUGACUUGUCAUGUUGUUUGGGUGUUUUAUCCAGUUAAAUACUUUAUACUUAGAGUACUAGAACUAAUGAGUUGCAUUACUAAAAAAGUACUUGUUGUCUUGGUCAGGAACUUGCUGUGAGAAUCGACAAGAUAGGGGGGAUCUUGGGGUAGAACUUUUUAUGAUUGGAUACUGAUUUUGUGUGCUUAGUUGUUAUGUCAUUUUAGUUAACAUUGUUUGUCUUGAUUUCAUUGAUGAUAUUUGGAUUCCAUAUACUAGCCUUCCUACACGCGCUCGCGCGCGUGCGGAAGUGUGUUUUCUGUAGCUUUAUUUUAAAAGCAAUUGUGUCAGGGUAAGCUACCUAGUUUCCCUAUAUAGUAAAGUGGGUGCAACACUUUACUGUUUACAAGCACCCUGGCAAUUACCAAUUUAUCCUCAUUUUUAUUUUAUUUACGGACUGUCAUUCAGUUUGAGAGAGAUAGUGACAAUUGUGUAAAUUACUAAAAAACAGAGGAUAAAUUGGUAUUUAAAGAACGGAUGGCAGAUGCGUAAAUUCGUAAAAAGGCGGGGUAGAAUAGUAAUUUUCACAGUUUAUGUAUAAUUACAAUACUACCCUCAGUCUGUUUAAAGUUAUCUUUCUGUCCUCACAUUUUCUGUUAAUUACACAUGCAUGUCACGAAUCUUACCUUGAUACAUAGCACUUAAAAUUAGACUGAAUGGCAAGGUAAGAUUCCAUCAAAUGGGGUAAAACUAACUGCACCCAAUUAACCUCGAUUAACACACAAUUAUUUAAUUUUCUCUCAUUAUUAUUAUUGUUGUCUUUUUUUUUUUUUGGUAAUGGCAAUUUUCUCUCAGACAAAACGAAUAGCAUUGACAAAAAAACUGAGUAGGAAAACAGAAAAAAGAAAAAAACUAAGAGUCACAACUGAAAUUAAAGUAAAAAUAAUGGGGAAAAUCUCAAAUAAAAAAAAUCAAGGGUAAAACUGAAAUAAAGAAAAAAUGGAGGGGCUGAACACAAUAAAGAAAAAACUAAUGGAGUGGCAAAACAGAGAAAAACGAAAAAAUACAAGGGUAGUUUUGGGAGGGCGCUAUUUACGUCAACAGUAAACUCCCCUACCCAUUUAAUAUAUAAAGAUGAAAUAUGUGUUGUUUCAUUUCAGUAUGCAUGCCUGCAUAUAGCAUGUUGUUUAUCAAGUGUAAAGGAGUUGGGGUGGACUUAUGGAUAUUUAGUGAUUUUAGGAGUAAUCUUUUGUGUAGUUGAGUUUAGACAUUGUAGGGAUCAAGCUCAGGCGAGCCCGUGUGCACAUUAGGAUUAGAAUAUCAGCGGUAUAAUUGUCGAUAUGUUUGGGUGAUUUGGGCUUGGAGAUCAAUGUUUUCAGGCAAGAUGACUAGCAAAAGGAGGGUAUGGGGGUUUGAUCGAGUCAGGGAGUUAAUUUAUAUGUUUGGAUAUUCAAGUCACGGUUGCAAAACUGUAAAGUACACUGUAUGGGACGUGUAGGCUUGUGUAUUCUAACAUAUCGAUUAACGGGUAUAUAAGUGGAGUUGCAUUGCAUCAUUGUGUGAUAUGUGUGUUGUGACUGAUAUAUGAAAUUGUGCUCUGUGUGUUCAAUUAUCCAUGAAAAGGUUUUAUGUCCCUACUGAGCCGCAGGUUGAGCUCACCCCUUAACAGAUUUUGCAGGUACUAAACACUAGAGGAGGAAGUUCGUUUGUGUAACUUUAUCAAGUAGGGAGUGAAGUUGGUGUUUUAUUUAUGCUCUUUGGAAUAAAUAGCGAGUAUUAGUGUACUAUGUAAAACUGUUGUUAUGUAAUAUAUGCUUCCGUUGAAAUUGUGAGACUUUGGAAUCUAGUAGUUCAAUUUUUGUUUUAUUUUCUAUGUCACAUUUUUGGUUAUAGAAACUCAAUUCUAUAAUUAAGAUGUGAUUCACACCUUAACUCGAGAUUAGAAGGUUAAUCCGGGUCAGGGUGUGACAAUUAAGCUCUUACCCAUGAGAUCAUGAUUAAUCCUUGAUCGAUCAAUUCGGUUAAAAAUAUGCCUAUUGUUAAGUUUUAAGUUUGAAACUUCAUUCAUGUAGAGAGAAGAAAAUGUUAAAGGAAGAUGUAAUGUAUUUCAAGUUUUCAAUAAUAUUAUCUAAUUAAUAUAGAUCUCUGUUAGUAAUUUAAUAUACUUAAACUUUUUGACGUUAGAUGUAUAAAAAAAUGUAUGUGUAUUUAGUAUUUAGGAGUGUGUAAAUAAAAUUUCUCUUUUAUUUUUUUGCAAAAAAAAAAAACCCGAUGGGGCCGUCUUCACGCCUCUAUUGAUGAAUCCAGAUAAUUAAUAUAUGGGGAAAUAAGUCCUUUUAAUAUUUAUGUUGUUUCGAAAAAUAAGAUAAUUCAUUAAUUAACUUAAGAGAAUACAAGCCUUCAUUUGAUCUAGCGACAUAGUCUCUCUUCACAAGUGGGAGGUCGUGAGUCCGCCUCACAAAAGACUUAUUGUAACAGUUAAGUUAUUUAAACUUAUUAGAAAAAAAAAAAAAAAAACUUAAGAGAAUACAAGUGGUCGUAAAAUCCUAUUUGUAAUACCCUGAAAAUUUAAUAUUAGUUUCUAGUAUUAUUUAGAAAUUUUUGUGUUAUGAGGUUCAAAAGAAGAGCGGAAUUGUUCGACUGCAUAAAUUACCCGAAACGGUUUUAUGGUUUUGAAGGGUCAAGAGUUGACUUUCUAAUCUGUUGGGUUUCUCGAUAAACUUCCUUCACGAAAGUUGUAGAGUUUGGUGAAAUAGUUCGUAGACACGCGACACGCGUAAAACGGAUGUCAGAGGAAGUUAGUUUCCGAUUUUUGAAAGUUUAUAAAUAGAAAGUUUGGGGUUUUAUUUUUGGAAACCCUAAUUUCAGAAAGUCUCUUCUCUCUCCUCUCUCUCUCCCGAGCUUCCCGACGCCGGAAGUUCUCCAGCGAAGAACUCGGCCGUCUAGCCACCAUUCGAGGCGCCACCGGUCCUGUUCGGCUCGCACAGUUCUCCUCUCCACUCCUUGGGCAGCGUCGCUCGCCGUCUUGCCGCCUAGACGCCGCCACGAAGCGGCGGAGCUGCUGCGGUAUCACUGGAAAUCCGGCAAUUUUGACGGCUAUUUCGGUGAGACUUAGGUUUGAAGUUUGAUUUCGGGUUGGUGGUUCGAGGCGUUUUCCGGCCGAUUCUAGCUGAAUUGGUUGAACCUCUAGGUAUUAAAGUUGUUCACCUUGCUUCAAGCUUCAAGUUUGCUGUUUUGAGUUUGCUCAAAUUCGGAGGUUUCGGGGUGGCGCAUGUGGCAGCACAUCCGGCAGGGUUCCUAGCUCUAGGUUUCGGUGGUUAGCUAGCUCUUGUUGUUGUGAGCUUGUUGAGAUGUGAAAAUUCUAGGUUUGGAGUAAGGAUUGCAUGCUAGGACUUUAAGUUUAAUCUUAGGCUUGUGAGAGGUUUGAGUUUAGGUUUUGAGGAUUUGAGACAAUUUUAUUGAGUCGUUAAGUACGACGACCUUAGAAAGUUGUCCUCCCUUGGGUUAAGGUUUGUUAAGGUUGCAAUGUUCUUUUUGUUCAAGUGGUUACUAAGGUUAUUAAUUGUGUUAAAUAGGUAGCUUGUGGAGUGAUAUUUGAGCUUGGUUUUUGAGUUUAUUAUGAAGACGCAGCAGGAUUUUAGGUGAGUAAAAUCUCACCAAGGUUCACUUUGGGACCAAUUAUUUAUAAUAAUUAUGAUAAUGAUUAUGAUGAUAAAAUGAUGAUGAUGAUGAUUGUGAUGAUGAGAAUGAUUAUGAUGAUAAAAUGAUGAUGAUGAUUGUGAUGAUAAUAAUUUUUUUUAAAAUUAUGUUUUGUUUGUUUUAAAAUAUAUGAGCUUGAUUGUCAACGACUCAUAGGUAAAAGAAAACAAGUUUUCCUAUUUAAAUGAUUCUUUUUAAGGUUCUUGUGACCAUAAUAUUUUUGGUUUUAUUGAUGUAAUUAUUGAUGCCUUAGUGGUGAUUGUGUGCAUUCGUUGUGGAAUGAUGCCUUAGUGGUGAUUGUGUGUAUUCGUUGUGGUGAUUGUGUGUAUUCAUUGUGGAAUGGUGUCUUAGUGGUGAUUGUGUGCAUUAGUUGUGGAUGUGUGUCUUAGUGGUAAUUGUGAGCAUUCGUUGUGGAAUGAUGUCUUAGUGGUGAUUGUGUGCAUUAGUUGUGGAUAUGUGCCUUAUUGGUGAUUGUGUGCAUUAGAUUAGGAGCCUUUAUGGUGGACCGGGAACCAAGCCUUGGCCGGGUGAUUGGUUAUGGUCAGUACAGAGCUCUAGUCUGUCUGUCGGUAUUUCAUGGGGGAUGACUAAGUGUUGACGAACUCAUAAGUAAGAGUAGAGAAAUGAUUGUGUGAUGUUCUUAUGUGUUUGUCAUUUAAAUUCAUUGCUUUGAGUAUCUCUUGAACUAUGCUUAUCCGCAAGAGAUUCCUUAAUCUUAAUUGUAUGAUUUUUAGUGGAAUUCCUGAACUAUGUUUUUUGCAGGAUUUCAUUUAUAAUUUGAUUGAUUGUGAAUUGUUGUGAUUUCUUAUUUACUCUUUUUUGAAUUCUUUUACUUUUAGGUGAUUCCUGAACUAAGUUGCUAAUGCAGGAAUUACCAAUUUAUUCAUAUGUGAUGUUGGGUUGAGUUAUUUAUUGUAGAUUUACUCAUAUGAGCUAUUAAAGAUUACCGGGUUUGUUAUUUACAACCCGAUGCACCAAUCUAUGGUGUAGUGGUUGUUUUUGCAUGUGAGGAUUUUCAAGACGUAGAAGUCUAGAAGCUGCAUGUUAGGAGUUAACUAUUUUCUUAUUGUUUGUCAAUUUGUAGUGAGCUCUUUAGAGCGUGACCUUACUUGACUUCUCAAGUUAUGUAAACGUCAGAAUGUAUUAUGUGAUUUUUUUAUUUUUGUUAUCAUGCCUUGAAUUUGGAUUUUUAUUUAUCCGAAAUUCGGGACGUGACACUAUUUGUACCAAAUUAAACAUUUUUUUUUCUUCUAAUUGAC